rnacentral:rRNA from 1 species
GACAGAGGGGGCAAGCGUUGCUCGGAAUUACUGGGCGUAAAGGGCGCGUAGGCGGGAUGGCAAGUCGGUCGUGAAAUCCCUCGGCUCAACCGAGGAACGUCGAUCGAUACUGCUGUUCUUGAGGAUUGCAGAGGAGACUGGAAUUCCCGGUGUAGCGGUGAAAUGUGUAGAGAUCGGGAGGAACACCGGUGGCGAAGGCGGGGUCUCUGGGCAAUUCCUGACGCUGAGGCGCGAAAGCGUGGGGAGCAAACGGG